GACGAACCGUGCAAACGUUGUUCGGAUUCACUGGGCUUAAAGGGCGCGUAGGCGGGUGCUCAAGUCCGUGGUGAAAUCCUCCGGCUCAACCGGAGAACUGCCUCGGAUACUGGGUGCCUCGAGGGUGGUAGGGGUAUGCGGAACUAUCGGUGGAGCGGUGAAAUGCGUUGAUAUCGAUAGGAACUCCGGUGGCGAAGGCGGCAUACUGGACCACCUCUGACGCUGAGGCGCGAAAGCCAGGGGAGCAAACGGG
rnacentral:rRNA from 1 species